rnacentral:tRNA from 1 species
GGCAGUAGCUCAGUUGGUAGAGCAUCAGCUUCCCAAGCUGAGGGUCGCGGGUUCGAAUCCCGUUUGCC